AGAGUUUGAUCCUGGCUCAGGAUGAACGCUGGCGGCGUGCUUAUCACAUGCAAGUCGAGCGAAGCACUUAUGAAGAUUCUUCGUGAUGAUUCAUUUGUGACUGAGCGGCGGACGGGUGAGUAACGCGUGAGUAACCUGCCUCAUACAGGGGAAUAACAGUUAGAAAUGACUGCUAAUGCCGCAUAAGCGCACAGGACCGCAUGGUCCGGUGUGAAAAACUCCGGUGGUAUGAGAUGGACUCGCGUCUGAUUAGCUGGUUGGUGAGGUAACGGCCCACCAAGGCGACGAUCAGUAUCCGGCCUGAGAGGGUGAACGGCCACAUUGGGACUGAGACACGGCCCAAACUCCUACGGGAGGCAGCAGUGGGGAAUAUUGCACAAUGGGGGAAACCCUGAUGCAGCGACGCCGCGUGAGUGAAGAAGUAUUUCGGUAUGUAAAGCUCUAUCAGCAGGGAAGAAAAUGACGGUACCUGACUAAGAAGCCCCGGCUAACUACGUGCCAGCAGCCGCGGUAAUACGUAGGGGGCAAGCGUCAUCCGGAUUUACUGGGUGUGAAGGGAGCGUACACGGCUUAGCAUGUCUGACGUGACGAUCCGGGGCUCAACGCCGGAACUGCGUUGGAAACUGUGAGGCUUGAGUGCCGGAGAGGCUAUCGGAAUCCUAGUGUAGCGGUGACAUGCGUAUAUCUCACGAGGAACACCAGUGGCGAAGGCGGCUUACUGGACGGCAACUGACGUUGAGGCUCGAAAGCGUGGGGAGCAAACAGGAUUAGAUACNCUGGUAGUCCACGCGGUAAACGAUGAAUACUAGGUGUUGGGGGACAAAGUCCUCCGGUGCCGCCGCAAACGCAUUAAGUAUUCCACCUGGGGAGUACGUUCGCAAGAAUGAAACUCAAAGGAAUUGACGGGGACCCGCACAAGCGGUGGAGCAUGUGGUUUAAUUCGAAGCAACGCGAAGAACCUUACCAAGUCUUGACAUCGAUCUGAAUGGGGAGUAAUGUUCCCAGUCUCUUCGGAGACAGAGAAGACAGGUGGUGCAUGGUUGUCGUCAGCUCGUGUCGUGAGAUGUUGGGUUAAGUCCCGCAACGAGCGCAACCCUUAUCUUCAGUAGCCAGCAAGUGAAGUUGGGCACUCUGGAGAGACUGCCAGGGACAACCUGGAGGAAGGUGGGGAUGACGUCAAAUCAUCAUGCCCCUUAUGACUUGGGCUACACACGUGCUACAAUGGCGUAAACAAAGGGAGGCAGCCCUGUGAAGGUGAGCAAAUCCCAAAAAUAACGUCUCAGUUCGGAUUGUAGUCUGCAACUCGACUACAUGAAGCUGGAGUCGCUAGUAAUCGCGAAUCAGAAUGUCGCGGUGAAUACGUUCCCGGGUGCUUGUACACACCGCCCGUC
rnacentral:rRNA from 1 species